rnacentral:rRNA from 1 species
AUUGAACGCUGGCGGCAGGCCUAACACAUGCAAGUCGGACGAGUGGCGGACGGGUGAGUAAUGUCUGGGAAACUGCCCGAUGGAGGGGGAUAACUACUGGAAACGGUAGCUCAUACCGCAUACCAUCAGAUGUGCCCAGAUGGGAUUAGCUUGUUGGUGGGGUAACGGCUCACCAAGGAUCCGCUCCCUAGCUGGUCUGAGAGGAUGACCAGCCACACUGGAACGUAGACACGGUCCAGACUCUUACGGGAGUCAGCAUUUGUGAAUAUUGCACAUUGGGCGCAAGUCUGAUGCAGCCAUGCCGCUUGUAUGAAGAAGGCCUUCGGGUUUUAAAGUACUUUCAGCGAGGAGGCGUUACUCGCAGAAGAAGCACCGGCUAACUCCGUGCCAGCAGCCGCGGUAAUAC